CUGAAGUUAACCCAUCCUAUAGGCCAGCACAGAGACAACCACAGCCCAACGUUACGCGGGCUUUACAAGGGACUACAGUUUUAACUUUACCUCUUGCUGCCUAAGCCCCAGUAUUCUUUGCUAUACACUGCUACAGUAUUGCCUUUCCUACAUAUGUUAAAUGGGAACGAUCUGCUAAGCUCCAGUGGUCCUAACUAAGCUUUUGACUAGCCAAUAUGUAAAACAAUAAUUCCUACUUAAAACGUAAGCUUUUGUCUAGCCAGCAUGUUAAACAAUAAUUCUUACUUAAAACGUACUAAUCGUGCAUUGCAUAAGAUAAUUGAAACGUAUCCUCAGAGGCUUCAC